GACGGACGCUGGCGGCGUGCUUAACACAUGCAAGUCGAACGGUGAAGCGCCUUCCUUUUUGGUGGGUGUGGAUGAGUGGCGAACGGGUGAGUAACACGUGAGUAACCUGCCCCCUUCUUCUGGAUAACCGCAUGAAAGUGUGGCUAAUACGGGAUAUUCUGGGUCUGUCGCAUGAUGGGUCUGGGAAAGAUAUUGUUUCGGUGGGGGAUGGGCUCGCGGCCUAUCAGCUUGUUGGUGGGGCGAUGGCCUACCAAGGCGGUGACGGGUAGCCGGCCUGAGAGGGUGGACGGUCACACUGGGACUGAGACACGGCCCAGACUGCUACGGGAGGCAGCAGUGGGGAAUAUUGCACAAUGGGCGCAAGCCUGAUGCAGCGACGCCGCGUGAGGGAUGGAGGCCUUCGGGUUGUGAACCUCUUUCGCCAGUGAAGCAGGCCUGCCUCGUUUGUGGGUGGGUUGACGGUAGCUGGAUAAGAAGCGCCGGCUAACUACGUG
rnacentral:rRNA from 1 species